rnacentral:misc_RNA from 1 species
GGAUGUUGAUCGUCUGCUGGUUUACUCCAGCUCGGUCCAAAUAUAAGAGCUGAAGCUAAUAAAUGUAUUAGUGCAGACUCUCGACUUGGCGUGAUAAUUAUUUCGUUAAGACAGAGUCUGUCGACGUUUGUUAAGCGGGCUUAUAAAACACUACUUUUACAUUAGACCUCAAAUCAGUCAGGACUACCCGCUGAACUUAA